rnacentral:rRNA from 1 species
GCGGCAGGCCUAACACAUGCAAGUCGAGCGGAUGAAGGGAGCUUGCUCUNGAUUCAGCGGCGGACGGGUGAGUAAUGCCUAGGAAUCUGCCUGGUAGUGGGGGACAACGUUCCGAAAGGAGCGCUAAUACCGCAUACGUCCUACGGGAGAAAGUGGGGGAUCUUCGGACCUCACGCUAUCAGAUGAGCCUAGGUCGGAUUAGCUAGUAGGUGGGGUAAUGGCUCACCUAGGCGACGAUCCGUAACUGGUCUGAGAGGAUGAUCAGUCACACUGGAACUGAGACACGGUCCAGACUCCUACGGGAGGCAGCAGUGGGGAAUAUUGGACAAUGGGCGAAAGCCUGAUCCAGCCAUGCCGCGUGUGUGAAGAAGGUCUUCGGAUUGUAAAGCACUUUAAGUUGGGAGGAAGGGCAGUAAGUUAAUACCUUGCUGUUUUGACGUUACCAACAGAAUAAGCACCGGCUAACUUCGUGCCAGCAGCCGCGGUAAUACGAAGGGUGCAAGCGUUAAUCGGAAUUACUGGGCGUAAAGCGCGCGUAGGUGGUUUGGUAAGAUGGAUGUGAAAUCCCCGGGCUCAACCUGGGAACUGCAUCCAUAACUGCCUGACUAGAGUACGGUAGAGGGUGGUGGAAUUUCCUGUGUAGCGGUGAAAUGCGUAGAUAUAGGAAGGAACACCAG